AGAGCAAUCACGAGGAUGGCUGUCAA
rnacentral:piRNA from 1 species